UUAUUGUUCUCUAUGUGAAAAUAUCAUUCAGCAGUUCCAUUCCAUCGAUGCCAACAUGUGUUAGAAAGAAAGUUCUUAUCGCAUAUUUCCAUCAAAAUAUUGUUUUCAUUGUCAACCUAAUUCAUAAAUAUAAAAGAACGUUCAAUUAAUUUGUAACAAACUGCUAACUGGCCACUAUAACAAAAUGGAGGAGCCUAUUGAUCAUGAGUCCGAAUCAUCAGAAGAAUCAUCAAGCAGUUCAACCUCGAGUUCAACAGAUAGUGACAUCUCUCGAAUAAGUAAAGAACAGGAAGAUUGGUCCUACUCCUUGUUCUCAGACAUUUUACUCACCCUUCAUCUUGGGGCAGCAGCAGUAUUUCUGGUUCAUACCAUCAAAAAUAUAAUAGUAGAAUUAUAUAUUCCAACUGCAAAUUCAUUUGGAUCACGUGGUGCUAUGGGAGUAGCGUUUGUGAAGUUUUGCCAUACCGUAUAUUCCAUUUUUAUACGCACAGAAAUUUUUGGCAGUAUUAUUAUAAUACUUGCAAGCCUUUAUAUUGGCAGAGAAUUAGGAAAUUUUCGAGUAUUGAGAAUUUUAUUGAGGCAAAUAGCAUAUUUGCUCACAAGAUUUAUUUUUUACUUAGUUAUCUUCCUUCAUUACUAUUGUAUUAGAAUAUAUCUGGAAAAAGUUUGAAACGUAUAACUGUCAACUUAUUCCAAUGAAGAAUUCAUUAAAUAAAUCCAAUGAACUACAAAAA